rnacentral:lncRNA from 1 species
AGGCAUCAGCUAGCUGCUUUCUUUUCUUGAUGCAUGCACAUUCAGACCACAAUCACAUCACCAAAACUACUUCUGGACAACAAAUAUUCCAUAUUGUAUUUCCAUUCCAAGUACAUAUCAGAUACUCAGAGCUACACCAAAAAAAAAUGAAUUUAUUCAGAACAUUCAAGGCUCUACAGAAAGGAAUCAAAUGUUUACAGAGGGUCGAAAAUAAGUUGCAAGUGCAGCAAAUGAAUCAAAGCAGUUUCUUACUUUUCGGGGCAAGGAACAAUCACCGUAAGCGUGCUGAACUACUUGACCAGAACUGAGCUAAAUAAUACUACAUACGAGUGAAAACAGCACGACUAGCGAAGCAGAACCGAGCUAAAUAAACAGCAGCCUAUAAAAGUCUCAUCGGUUCAAUCACGACUCGCAAGAGCAUGGCAGCAAUGCGGCAGCACGCGUCCUAUUAAUUCUAUCCGCACUCUGCCAUCAUUCCUUUGCGCAGAUGCUUCACCUCGGCGGCGCGGCGUAGAACACGGCUGACGGCUCCCCAGCCCCACUGGACACCGUGUAUCUGAUCUUGCACCGGCCGGGAGCCUGCUGAUUCCGACAUUGUACAUGUAUACUACCUGAAUGAAACAAUCAAGGUAACAUCAGACAAAGAUGGAACGAAUCAGAGCUUACAAAGGAUUAAACACAAAACAAAAGUUAACUCCUGCAUGAAAAGAAAAAAAAACUUAUAUACAUUUGUAAGUUACACCUGAAUUGGGUAUAAUAAGUUUCAGAGUUCACACAAGGUAGAUGAAAGAUUCAGAGUUUGCGUUCAGCUCUGCUUCAAAUGCAGAGCUCAUAUUAAAAUUUACAAAAAGUUCAAAAAUCCCCUAGAAUCUGCAGGUGCAGAACCAUGCAAACUAAAUAGUUGAAUCAUGCCAACUUUGGACCCAAGUUCAAAUUUCAGAAUCUGCUGUGGACUAUGAUGAUGGCUUCUCAAAAUUGUCGCAGAUUCCCAGAACAAUAGCUCCUCAACCUAACAAACAAACAGAAUUUUAGGCAAUUUCUAGAGGAAUAUUAUCUUUCAGUGAUUUGCUACCUUUCAAGCUCUCGUAACCAAAUAUUAGCCCACAACAAAACAAGCAUUUAGCUAAUACACUGAAAUAAAGUUUCCACUCCUUCACUGAUUCUGAGCAUUACUGAGACUUAGUUUGACCUCAUAAUAUUUAUCCAUGUUUGGAAACAAAGAAAGUAAAAAAUGCCAGAUUAUGUGUUGCAGUCUCCCUUAACACAGGUGCAGAAUCCCUGACAAGUUUCUGCACAAUAGAUCUCAAAAUUUAACUAAGUUUGUGCGCAAUAGUGUUAACGUACCAUACGCUUGUACAUGUAUCAUGUAAUAUUGUUGUAUCUAGUCCUAGUCUUCAGGAUCCCAACCGCCUCUCCACGAUGGCCUGCGUGCCUAUCCACUCGGGAGACCAGGCGAGGGGGUCGGCUCUAUAUGUACCUGUAACAGCCAUGCAUAAUACAUAUCGGCAGUUCUAUCCUCCCUCUCUCGUUUAGCUUGGUAUCAGACGCUAUGGCGUUCGAAGACAUCUUCGGCGACCUCCCACCCCCGGUUGUCAACUCCACCUCUCCAUCCUCUCCGCCGGUGACCUCUCCUCCUCUACCGCCCCCUGCUACUGCUUCCUCUCACACCUCUGAGAUCAUCACCGAGCUGCAACCUCCCCCACCACCCCCUGCUGCAACUCCCCUCAGCAUCCACAACGACCACAUCUCCAACCAUGUCAAGUUCAAACUUGAUCCAGCCGAGAACAACUACACCAAGUGGCGCAUGUUCUUCAACCUCGUCCUCCUCCAGUACCGUGUCCAGGACCACGUCACGCGCCCGCCGCCUCCCAACCCCGAUGCCGACUCGCUGGCCGUCGACCAGCGGCUCAUGCUCUGGAUCUACUUCACCCUCUCCGACAACCUGCUCGAGCUCAUCAUGGGUGGCGCCGUCGACGCGUACACCGCCUGGACUCGCAUCAAGGACUACUUCCUGGCCAACCAAGGUGCUCGCUACCUCCAUGUGACAGCCCGAGACCGACGUUCCAGAAGCUUCCCCUUUUCUUUCCGUUUUCGUCGUGUGGGUAUUUUCAGUUGCCGCAUCAUCAUCGCAUCAUGCGCAUCAUAUGCAUUGCAUCGGCAUCUCCGUUGCCGCCAGUUUUCAAAACUUGCAUUCGUUAGUAGUCGCCGGUUCUCGUCGUUGUCCGAUCCGAGCUCGAACGCACACGCACGCGCCCGCGGCAUCGUCGAAACCCUGUUUUUAAAGCGCGUUUAAAACUCUCUCUGAUCGAGGUGAAACAUGGCACGCGGUCGCGAUUAGAUGUAGCUAGGCCGCCUGUCGAAUUUCGUCGUGAUCGGAGACCGACUGGUACCCGAACGGUCGACCGUAGCGGCACCGUCUUCGGUUAUUCGUCGGACGUCUGUCGGUGUUUUUAAAUUCGUGCCGCGUCGCCCGUUCUCCCUCUCGUCUCCGGAUACCCCUCUACAUGGUCACGUACCCGUUCCCGCGUUCGGAAUCGUCCGAAUCCGACCCCGCGGUUGGAUCCGGAGCGCGAUUCCGGUUAACCGAGCCCCCUUUUUUCCUUAUAAAUACCCCCUCCUCCUUAAUUUAUGGACAACCCCUCUUCCCUGCCUCGUUUUCCGCGCCCCACCUACCAAACCGUAACCCUAGCCGCAGCAGCCUCUCCCCACCAGCGCCGCCGGCCCGCCCGAGCCCGCGCGCGGCCCGCCGAGGCCCAUCCGNNNNNNNNNNNNNNNNNNNNNNNNNNNNNNNNNNNNNNNNNNNNNNNNNNNNNNNNNNNNNNNNNNNNNNNNNNNNNNNNNNNNNNNNNNNNNNNNNNNNNNNNNNNNNNNNNNNNNNNNNNNNNNNNNNNNNNNNNNNNNNNNNNNNNNNNNNNNNNNNNNNNNNNNNNNNNNNNNNNNNNNNNNNNNNNNNNNNNNNNNNNNNNNNNNNNNNNNNNNNNNNNNNNNNNNNNNNNNNNNNNNNNNNNNNNNNNNNNNNNNNNNNNNNNNNNNNNNNNNNNNNNNNNNNNNNNNNNNNNNNNNNNNNNNNNNNNNNNNNNNNNNNNNNNNNNNNNCCCGCCGAGGCCCAUCCGGCCGCCGCCCGGGCUGCAGCCGCCGCCGCCCACGUUCUUCCUGCCCGAGCCGCGCCUCCCCCAUGGCUCCCUCUCCCGCGCCGCCGCGCCGGCCAGCAGCCGCCGCCGGCCCUUGCCCUGCCAGCCCCGCCGCCUUGCCCUCCGGCCGCCGCUCGCCGGAGAGCCGAGGGGUCGCCUCCCCGAGCCGCCGUCGCCCUCGAACCCCAUGGCUGCCGAGGUGUGUUGCAGCGAGGUCUCCGGUGCGCCGUCGCCCGUCGGCCUUCCGCAACCGCCGGCCGCCGCCCUGCCCAGAUCCGGUGGUCGAGGACUGGAUCCGGCCAUCCCUUGCGUCGGCAGCCACCGGGGCUCGACGGAGUCGCCGCCGCCAUCGCCCUGAAGUGCUCGGGUCGAGCGAACCGAGCUCCAGUCCAAGGGAGCCGUCGCCUUGCCCGAGCCGCUGCGCUGCGCCGCGCCUGGGCCGCCUUGCCGCUCCUGGGCCGGCCUCCCGUCGCUCCAGCCGGACCCCGAGGCCCAGCAACGGCAGCCCCCUUCAGCCGGCCCCGCGCCUCCCCGUGGGCCGCCUCCCUGCCCGCUCGCUGGCCCAGUCGGCCACCGACUCCGGUCGGCCCGAACCAAUCGCCCCAGGCCGGCCCGAGCUGGCCCAAGGUGAGCUAUUCCCCGCCUUUUUAUUAUUUUGCUAUUUAUCGCUGCCUUUUUGGCCCAUUUAGGUUUUUAGGAUUUAAUUAAUUCCAGAAUCUAGACGUAUAUUUAAACGUCCGUAGUUUAAUAUCCGUAAGUCCGUUCGCGAUGUAUCGUAUAUCGUUUUGGUGUAGAAUUUCACGUAGAAUCUGAUUUUGAAACUUGCAUAUUUGUUUAACGCUGUUUAGAGUGCCUAAUGCCUCGUUUUACGUGCUGUUUAACUAGGAUCCAUUCCGUAGUUAAUUUCCGUGCGUAUCCGGAUUGCCCGUAUGCCAUAGAGUUAAUGUCCAUGUUUUAGGGACCAUAUUUCUACGUAUUUUAGAGCGGUCACUCGUAUUUUUUUUCCGUGUAGGGUUUUGCCGGUAGUUUAUUUUCCCGUUUAGAGGUAUUGUCUCGCAUUAUCGUGUAGCGUUAUUUUGGGUUGCAAACCCCACAUAUUAUAUAUGUUUCCGGGGUAGAAAAAUCCCAUGGAUUUUUCUGUGCAAUUAGUUUUAGCUUUUGAGGAAGUUAGUUCGCGAGAUAUUUUGUCGUGAAGCCCUUUUGUUUAAUCCGUAGGUUUUAUUCCGGGCCUCGUUUGAGUUAGUUGUCAACUAGUGAUUUGAUCUUGGAUGUUUUGUUUAGCCUCUAGUAUUUUUAGUUGCAAGAGAAGUGCAUGUUUAGGUGUUGUUUGACUGCCCUUAAGUUGCUUGAAUAGUGCUGUUUCAGAGGAGCUGAAAUAUUUCUAAGUCUGGGUUCUGAUAUUAUUUUGUUGCUGUUUUGUUUCGCUUCUAGCUUGUGAUCUGUAGCUCUUUUGGGGUUGGUCCAAUGGAAUUAGUUGUACCCCUUAUGUUUCUCUAGCAUGCUGUUAAGUUUCAUGCCAUUUGGAGACCUGUAGCUAUAGGUUUUGCUGCUGUCAAUAUUGCCUCAGGCUGAAAACUGCACUUUCAUGAGGUGUAAUUUUCACUAAGUCCGAAAUAGUGUGUGGGAUGCCAUUUUGUGUCUUCUUUUCCUAGUGCUCCUUGCUGCCACGCUAGUUGUUGUUAGAUGUUUGUAGUAGUGCGUUUUGCCCUCUUCCGUGCCAUGCCUUGCUUGAUCUCAUCGGAGUUGUGUAGCCGUAGUUGUGGGGCGUAGAAGUUGCUAUGUGGCUGAUUUUGGCAGAUUGUAGUGUUUUCUUGUUUUGCUCGUAGUUUUUGAACCGUAGCUCCGAUUUGAUCGUGUCCUACACGAGACUUGCUUAGAAUCUCGUGUAGUUUCAUUUUCUCUUGCUGUUUGAAUGUGUUGAAGUGCUCGUAGCCGCCGUUGCACACAUUUUGCAUUCAUGCCAUCAUAUCUUGCGGUGCUUGUAACUUUUGAUCCGUAGCUCCGUUGGAGAUGUUCUUUACGUGUAGGUUGCUUGCCUUGACGCGUAGAAUCACGUGAACCUAUUUGUUUUGCUGUUUAACAACCAAUUAAAUGCAUUAGUUCAGAUCUGGACAGAAUUGUAAAUUAACACGUGGGGUCAUUUCGGAGGUGCUAUAUGUCAUUUCCGACCUCACUUAAAAUGCCUAGAUAAGUAGUUUAAUAUCCGCUUCACCUCUUGCAUGUUUGACAACAUUAAUAUUGCCGUGUAGAUAACCGGGAGCGAACUAAAUAAUUACCGUGGAGUUUCGUCAAUAUGCAACUCGUGCAUAUUGAACUUCACUUAAUGUGUAGUGUUUGUUUGUUGUGAAUUGUCAUGCCGUGACUUGCAUGUAUUCAGUAGCUCAUGCAUCAUAUGUGUUGUGCAUCGUGUGGUGAAUUUCGUGUGUUGAUAUUUGUGUUUCCGGUUUGCUUCGUCUCGAUAGAGCUCCGCACGCUUGCCGGAUUGUGAGGACCCGUUCGACUACGUCGGUUCGUCUGCUUCACGGAGGCAUUCUUCUUCCAAGCGGGAUCUCAGGCAAGAUGAUCAUUUCCCCAGAUACCAUUACUAUCAUUGCCAUGCUAGUUUUAUCGCUUCUAUCGAUGAUGUCUCGUUGCCUACCACAUGUUAAAUGUCAGCCUCUCAACAAUGCCAUGAAACCUUCAACCUGUUCGACCUAGCAAACCACUGAUUGGCUAUGUUACUGCUUGCUUAACCCUGUUGUUAGCGUUGCUAGUUGCAGGUGCAGUCGCUUCCAUGAGAAAGCAUGGGUUCAUUGUUAUAUCACCAUAUUAAAUGCUAUCUAAUUUAAUGCACAUAUAUACUUGGUAAAAGGUGGAAGGCUCGGCCUUUCUAGCCUGGUGUUUUGUUCCACCUUUGCCCCCUUAGUUUCGGCUACCGGUGUUAUGUUCCAUAAAUGAGCGCUCCUAACACGAUCGGGGUUGUUAUGGGGACCCCCUUGAUAAUUCGUUUUUGAUUAAGACUGGUCUGGCAAGGCCCAACUUUGGUACUACAUUUGCCUAAACACCUAAUAAAAUUGCAUAGGGACUUUCCGGACCCCGAGGAUAAUUUAAUCAACCCCGGGCCAGUGCUCCUCAUGAGUAUUGAUCCAAAUUGGCAGACUACGGGGCCACCGCGGGGCAACCCGAGGUUUGGUACUCCUAGUGUGACCCAUCCGUCGUGUCCUGAGAACGAGGUACGCGACUCCUAUCGGGAUCGUCGACACGUCGGGCGGCCUUGCUGGAUUAGUUUUACCUUUGACGAGAUAUCUUGUGCAUCGGGACUCCGGUGAUGCUUUGGGUAAUCUCAGAGUUGAGGUUUUCCACUAGGGAUUCCGACGAGAUCGCGAGCUUCGUGAUUGAGGAUUUCUAUGCGGCUUGUGGUAAUUUGUGAUGGACUAGUUGGAGCACCCCUGCAGGGUUAAAUCUUUCGGAAAGCCGUGCCCGCGGUUAUGUGGCAACGUGGAAGCUUUGUUUAACACUGGUUCUAGAUAACUUGAAGUUAACUUAAUUAAAACUUGCCAACUGUGUGCGUAACCGUGAUUGUCUCUUUCGUGAGUUCCUUCUCCGAUCGAGGACACGGUGGGGUUAUGUCUGACGUAGGUAGGUGUUCAGGAUCAUUCUUUUGAUCAUCUGUAGUGACGUCCGUUAUGCGUAGAUCUCCCCCCUCUUAUUUCUUAUACUCGUAAGUUAGCCACCAAAUAUAUGCUUAGUCGCUGCUGCAACCUCACCACUUAACCAUACCUCACCCAUUAAGCUUUGCUAGUCUUGAUACCUUUGGAAAUGAGAUUGCUGAGUCCCCUGUGGCUCACAGAAUACUACAACCCCAGUUGCAGGUACAGGUAAAGGUUACUUGACGCGAGCGCGUUGAUUGUUCAUUUGGAGUUGCUUCUUCUUCUUCUUCUUCUUCUUCUUCAUCGAUCUAGGAUGGGUUCCAGGCCGGCAGCCUGGGAUAGCAAGGAUGGACGUCGUUCUUCUUUUGUCGUUUGUUUUCGUCCGUAGUCGGACCCUGCUCUCACUCUUGAUGUUAUGUAAUGUACAGAUGUGACUCUGAUGUAGAUUGUGGCGAGUGUAAGCCAACUCUUUAUAUAUCUCUUCCUUUCAGUACAUGUACUUGUAACGAUAUCCAUUCUUGCGACACGACGAGAUGCGCUUCUAUCCCUGACGAGGCCCUCGUGCUAAAUUGAGGAUAGGGUCGCAUCUUGGGCGUGACACUCCACCUCACUCGGCAGUACCGGAACCUGAAGCAAGGCGACCUCUCCGUGUCCGACUACGCCCGCCGUCUGAAGACCCUUGCGGACGGCCUUGCUGACACAGGUAACCCGGUGUCUGACCAUGACCUCACCAUGCAACUUCUUCAUGGUCUGGACAACCGGUUCGACACGAUCCGCACCAUCUUGGGGGAUCAGUCACCGCUGCCGCCCUUCGACGUCGCUCGCUCCCGUCUCGACCUCGCCGAGUACACCAUCAACCUCCGUGCGGCAGAGGCCAGCUCCUCCGCCCUCACCAUCUCCGGCGGCUCCGGCUCGGCGUCCGAUCGCGGAGAUUGCGGCGACCGCGGUGACCGCGGCGAUCGUGGCACUGGCGACCGUGGCUCUGGCGGCUGUGGCACUAGCGGCCGUGGCAACGGCGGAGGCGAUCGUGGCCGCGGUCGUGGUCGCCAAGGUGGUCGCGGCCGUGGCCGUCCUGACUCCGGUGGCCGCGGGUCCUCCUCCACACCACCCACACCAUGGACGGGGUACUUUGCCCCGUAUGGCAUGGCCCUGCCCGCCCCACGCCCUGGCUGGAUUCCUCCUAACGUCGUCGGCGUCCUCGGACCACGCCCCGGCGUCCACUCCCAGGCGUAUCCCCUGAUGCUCUCUGGCCCAUCUACAUCAACUGCACCUCCGGCUCCUCCGUCGCCCUACCAGUUCCCUGCGCCAUCAUGGGACCAUGCUGCCCUCCUUCAUUAGGCCUAUAGCCAGCACGGGCUCCCUCCUCACAGCAGCGACUGGAUCCUCGACUCCGACGCAUCCACGCACGUCACCGGUAAUCCUGGCACCCUCUCCUCGUUUCGUCCUUUCCCGAAGCAUUUUUCUCCUAGUAUCAUUGUUGGCAAUGGUGAUCGCCUUCCCAUCAUCGGAACGGGUUCCACUACUCUUCCUCCCACCAACCUUUCUCUCAAAGACAUGGCUGUUUGCCCGGGCAUUGUCCAAGACCUUAUUUCUGUUCGCAAGUUAUCUACUGACAAUAAGGUUUCUGUUAAUCUUAACCCUCAUGGUUUCUUUGUGAAGGACCUCCACACCAGGACUCCGCUCAUGACGUCCAGUAGUCCCGGCCCGCUGUACCCCUUCUACGGCACCUCCUCCUCAUUCGGCAAGCUGGCUGCCUUCACCACCACCGACGACUUGUGGCAUCAACGGCUUGGCCAUCCGGGCAAAGCCUCCUUAGAUUUCCUUUCUCGCACUUUCUUACCCGAUUGUAAUAAUGUUGCUCGCUCCCCCUGUACCUCUUGCCAAUUAGGGCGUCAACCUCGCUUAUCCUUUUCCUCCCUCAAUAAUUGUACCACUGCGCCGUUUCAACUUAUUCAUUGUGAUCUUUGGACAUCGCCCAUUAUUAGCUUCUCUGGGUUUAAAUAUUAUCUCAUUGUUCUUGAUGACUUUUCUCACUACUCGUGGUCGUUUCCCCUCCGCAACAAAGACGACACAUCCCCCACUCUCCAACACUUCUUCACUUACAUCUACACCCAAUUUCACACACUCAUACAAUGCAUGCAAUGUGACAAUGGCGGCGAAUUCAUCAACACCUCCCUAUGCACCUUUUUUUUCCACCCACGGCAUCACCUACCGUCUCUCGUGCCCCCAUACCUCCCCCCAAAAUGGCAAAGCCGAACGCAUGCUCCGUACAACCAAUGACGUCCUCCGCACGCUACUUCUCCAUGCCCACUUACCACCGCCCUUUUGGGUCGAGGCUCUCCACACCGCCACGCACUUACUCAACCGCCGUCCAUCCAUCACCACCCAACCCCACACACCCUACUAUCUUCUCACCGGCGUUCAACCCCGAUACGAUCACCUUCGCGUUUUCGGUUGUCUCUGUUUCCCCAACUUAUAUGCCACCACACCACACAAAUUAGCUCCUCGCUCCACCCGUUUUGUGUUCCUCGGUUACCCUCUUGAACACAAGGGGUAUCGGUGUUUCGAUCUCCAAACUCGCAAAGUCAUUGUGUCUCGGCAUGUUGUUUUUGAUGAAACAACCUUUCCAUACACGCCCCCCACACAACCAGUCACACACCCACCAACCGCACCGGAUCCCGUGCCUGGCCGCCACCUGCGCGCAAUCGCCCCCGGGAUUCCCUCCACACCUACCUCGGACAGCAGCGCCUGUACCCCCGCUUUCCCGCCAAGCGCUCCACCUACCUCGGAUCGCAGCGCACGUACCCCCGCUUUCCCACCCAGCGCUCCACCAACCCGCGCUCCGCACGCGUUUCCAGAUCGCCCCACCACCCCUACUGCCUCGUCCGCUCCAACCGCUGCCCCACACCCGUCGCCCCACGACUCGCCCGCUACGACAUCUCCUGGACUUGUCGCCUCUGACGCCUCCUUCCCGCUCGGAUCGCCCGCCGGGCCCUCCACUGAUUCCCACACCGCCUCGGCUCCCAGCCCCACCACAUCUACCUCGCAGCCUGUGCCACCGGCUCCCUCCCCACCACGUCGCUCUGUCGUUCCUGUCCCCCCUCCUGUAAAUUCGCAUCGCAUGACCACCCGGGCCAAACGAGGCUUUGUACAGCCACGCAAACUUUUUUCCCUCACCGCAACCACCACGUCUCCUAUUUCUCCCAUCCCUUCCUCAUAUAAAUCUGCCCUCCAGGAUCACCAUUGGCACGAUGCUAUGCUAGAUGAAUUUCAUGCUUUGCUUAAGAACAAAACUUGGAGAUUGGUUCCUCGACCUGCAGGUGUCAACGUGGUCACCGGAAAGUGGAUUUUCCGUCACAAGUUCAACCCCGACGGCACCCUUGCUCGGUACAAAGCCCGCUGGGUACUUCGUGGCUUCACGCAACAGGAGGGCAUCGACUACACGGAAACAUUUAGCCCGGUUGUUAAACCAGCUACGGUGCGUGUUGUCCUUAGCCUCGCCACCGCCCAAUCUUGGCCAAUCCAUCAACUGGACGUCAAGAACGCAUUCCUAGACGGUGAUCUCGGUGAGACGGUAUAUUGCACUCAACCUUCUGGCUUCGUCGACCCCUCCCACCCUCAUCACGUAUGUCUCCUCCACAAAUCCCUCUACGAACUCAAACAGGCUCCUCGCACGUGGUUCUUGUGUUUCCAGUCAUACAUUGUCUCCUUAGGCUUUGUGGCGUCCAAAUGUGAUACCUCUCUCUUUACAUAUCAUCAUGGCAAUUCGGUUGCAUAUCUUCUCCUCUAUGUCGACGAUAUCAUUCUCACUGCCAACACAACAUCCACCCUACAUUCCAUCAUCACCUCCCUUCAAACCGAAUUUGCCAUGUCUGAUCUCGGCGACAUUCACCAUUUCCUUGGUGUCAACGUCACACGCAACACCUCUGGCUUGUUCCUCUCUCAACAACAGUAUGUCCUUGAGAUUUUGGAUCGCGCCAACAUGUUAAACUGUAACCCCAUAUCCACCCCUGUAGACACCAAAUCCAAACUCUCUGCAUCUGAUGGCACCCCUCUCUCCAACCCAACCUUGUACCGGAGCAUCGCCGGGGCGCUUCAGUACCUCACCCUCACUCGGCCUGACAUUGCAUACGCUGUACAGCAAGCCUGCCUAUUCAUGCAUGCACCCCUGCUCCUCCCAUUACCAGCUCGUCAAGCGGAUCUUGCGUUAUCUCAAACGCACGGCCCACUUCGGGUUACAGUUCUAUCGCUCUUCCUCUCACGAGCUCAUCGCCUACUCCGACGCUGAUUGGGCCGGCUGUCCCGACACUCGGAAAUCUACAUCAGGUUUUUGUGUCUUUCUCGGCUCAAACUUGAUCUCCUGGUCGUCUAAACGACAACAUACUAUUUCACGCUCUAGUGCCGAGGCGGAGUACCGCGGUGUUGCCAACUGCGUCGCCGAGACCACCUGGCUUCGUCAACUCCUUCACGAGCUUCGUCGCCCCGCCACUCGCGCCACCGUUGUCUACUGCGACAACAUCAGCGCGACAUACCUCUCCACCAACCCCGUCCAACAUCAACGCACCAAGCAUGUCGAAAUUGACCUGCACUUUGUUCGUGAUCGUGUGGCUCUAGGCGAAGCCCGCGUUUUGCACGUGCCUACAAGUUCCCAGUUUGCAGAUGUGUUCACCAAAGGACUACCAACAGCCGUGUUUGAGGACUUCCGGUCUAGUCUGAACAUCCAUCCUGGAGGAGUUCCGACUACGGAGGGUGUUAACGUACCAUACACUUGUACAUGUACCAUGCAAUAUUGUUGUAUCUAGUCCUAGUCUUCAGGAUCCCAACCGCCUCUCCACGAUGGCCUGCGUGCCUAUCCACUCGGGAGACCAGGCGAGGGGGUCGGCUCUAUAUGUACCUGUAACAGCCAUGCAUAAUACAUAUCGGCGGUUCUAUCCUCCCUCUCUCGUUUAGCUAAUAGAUCUCUGACAAGUUUCUGCACAAGUUUCUGCGCAGAACCUACGAUCCUCAUAUUGAUGAUUUAUCUAAACACCAAGUAAUUUAAUUUAACUAAGAUCUCAAAAUGAAAAUGGCCAAAAGACUUGUCCCAAAAUUUGGAAUACCUGUUCCCAACACUGUGACAGUACUUCAGAGCAAAGAGAUCCAGAAAGAAGAAGAGCUAAUAGAGCAAAUAGAUACAGAUUGAGCCGGGGGUUGAGGGAACGGGGAGGAGGAAGGCAGGAGUGGUGGGGGUUGAGGGAACGGGGAGGAGGAAGGCAGGAGUCGACGGGCGCGAGCAGGUUGUCGAUGGAGCGAGGCGCUGCUGGGGGCGAUGGGGCAGCGGAGGCUUCGGCGCGCCGCAACGGAGGGCUUGCAGUUCCUGGCGGCAGGAGCGAGACCAGGGUGGCGGACUUGCCUGGAUCGGGGCCGCCACGGGAUUGCUUGAUCGGAACGGCGCACCGAGCAGCCGUCUAAGAGCAGGAAGGACGGCGACGGCGGCGGCUAUUCGACGGGACGGGCGACCAAAGUGCGAUGAGGAACCGAAC